UACGUAGGGAGCAAGCGUUGUCCGGAUUUACUGGGUGUAAAGGGCGUGUAGGCGGAGACGCAAGUCAGGAGUGAAAUCCCCGGGCUCAACCCGGGAACUGCUUUUGAAACUGCGUCCCUUGAGUAUCGGAGAGGCAGGCGGAAUUCCUAGUGUAGCGGUGAAAUGCGUAGAUAUUAGGAGGAACACCAGUGGCGAAGGCGGCCUGCUGGACGACAACUGACGCUGAGGCGCGAAAGCGUGGGGAGCAAACAGG
rnacentral:rRNA from 1 species